rnacentral:lncRNA from 1 species
UAAUUUUAUGUGAAGUUUGGUCAAAGCUUUCAAAAGAAGCUUUGACUUUGAUUUUUUUAGGCCAAGACCGACCUUAUCCUUUCCCCCAGCAAAUGUUUCUUCCUCUUCAUCCAUGCUCCACGCCAUUCUUGAAGCUUCCAUGCCAUUUUCUCUUUAUCCACCAUGAAAUCAAGUUUUCUUCACUUUCUUUUCCUUUCUUCUCCAAACUUCUUGAGCACUAAAUUUACAGCCUUUAACUCCAAUUUCCAGCACGUCUAAACCCUAGGAGGAGAAGAAAGAAAAAGAGAAAAAGGAAGAAAAAAGCUUGGUUUUGGUGAUUCAAGCAAGGAACGGUAAGAAUUAUUGUUUUUGGUUUGAGUAGUCUUUGAAAAUGAGUUAGUGACUUAGAGAAAUGUCUUGUGGCAGCAAAGAUUGGCUUGAUUGGAGAAAAAUUGAUAACAUGUAAGCCAAUAAACCCAUGGGUACAUGAAGGUCUCAAAGUGGAAAAGGAAAACUGUAAGCUUAAUACUAUGUUUUAAAGCCUACGGUUAGUUGAAUAUUGUGAGGAAUUAUGGUUGUUGAAAGGAUUUAUUUACCUAAGCUAGUUGAAAAUUAUUAAGAUUGUAUGGCAUGUUGUUUGAAAGAAAUGAAAGAGGAAUAUUGUGGAUGGAGAAUUGAGAAACAAAGUAUUGAAAGUUAGAUAGAUAACGAUGCAUGUAAACUAGGAAAUAAUUGAGUGAAAGUGAGAAUGAUUGUUGCUGCUAUAUAUGUGGAUUAUGUGUGGAAAUAUAAGAUGGAUUUGGGAAGAAAUUAUUUAAAAAGGUUAAAGUAGGCAUGUGACAUCAUAAAUAAGUUAUCGGUGAUAUAAUCUAAGAAAUUUCGUAAGCAAUGGAUAUAAGUUAUUUUGGUAAAAAUCUAUUAAGAUGUGAGUUAAUUGAAGAUGAUUUCAUGAUAGGAUGAAAAAUAUAAAUUUGAGUAAGGAUUAAUUGAUUGAAGUGCUACCCGUAUACAGAUGUAAUUAAAUAUAUUGAGUUCAUAUUAUUGCUAGGAAGUGCAAAGAUAAGGUUAAGAACUGUGGUGGCGUGCCAGAGUAAAUAACGAGGGACCGACCAAUGAAAAUAAUUAGAGACACCUCUGAACAAAUAGCGACUUAAUAUAUCGUUGUUUCCAGGUGAGUGAACUUGCAUUAAAAUCUUUUGGAAUAAAUGAUUAUAUGCUUGAUUGAGCCACUUGAAAUAUUUUGUUGGUUUUUCUUUAAAAAUUGCAUGGGAACAAGCCCUUGAUAAAAUGUUUUGAUAUUAUGAGAUAUGAACAUGAUGAAUUCAUGAGUUUCUACAUUAUGUUGAUGUGUAUAUUAUACAUUAAAUGAUACUUUUGUGUGAUAAUUAUGACCCAG